AUGCACGCUGGCGGCGUGCCUAAUACAUGCACGUCGAGCGAACAGACGAGGAGCUUGCUCCUUUGACGUUAGCGGCGGACGGGUGAGUAACACGUGGAUAACCUACCUAUAAGACUGGGAUAACUUCGGGAAACCGGAGCUAAUACCGGAUAACAUGUUGAACCGCAUGGUUCAACAGUGAAAGACGGUCUUGCUGUCACUUAUAGAUGGAUCCGCGCCGCAUUAGCUAGUUGGUAAGGUAACGGCUUACCAAGGCAACGAUGCGUAGCCGACCUGAGAGGGUGAUCGGCCACACUGGAACUGAGACACGGUCCAGACUCCUACGGGAGGCAGCAGUAGGGAAUCUUCCGCAAUGGGCGAAAGCCUGACGGAGCAACGCCGCGUGAGUGAAGAAGGUCUUCGGAUCGUAAAACUCUGUUAUUAGGGAAGAACAAAUGUGUAAGUAACUAUGCACGCCUUGACGGUACCUAAUCAGAAAGCCACGGCUAACUACGUG
rnacentral:rRNA from 1 species